AGAAUUGAUCUGGUUCAGGACGAACGCUGGCGGCGCGUCUUAAGCAUGCAAGUCGAACGGCAAGAGGUAGCAAUACCUCCUAGAGUGGCGGACUGGUGAGUAACACGUGGGUGACAUACCCUUCAGAUGGGGAUAGCUAUUAGAAAUAGUAGAUAAUACCGAAUACGAGCACAGGGGUUAGAGAUCUGUGAGGAAAGGAGCUAAGGCUCCGCUGAAGGAAUGGCCUGCGGCCCAUUAGCUAGUUGGUGAGGUAAGAGCCCACCAAGGCGAUGAUGGGUAUCCGGCCUUAGAGGGUGAACGGACACAUUGGGACUGAGAUACGGCCCAGACUCCUACGGGAGGCAGCAGCUAAGAAUAUUCCGCAAUGGACGAAAGUCUGACGGAGCGACGCCGCGUGGAUGAAGAAGGCCGGAAGGUUGUAAAAUCCUUUUGAAACUGAAGAAUAAGCGUUGUAGGGAAUGACAGCGUGGUGACAGUAGGUUUUGAAUAAGCAACGGCUAAUUACGUGCCAGCCGCUGC
rnacentral:rRNA from 1 species